GUGGGGAAUAUUGGACAAUGGGGGGAACCCUGAUCCAGCCAUGCCGCGUGUGUGAAGAAGGCCUUUUGGUUGUAAAGCACUUUAAGCGAGGAGGAGGCUACCGAGAUUAAUACUCUUGGAUAGUGGACGUUACUCGCAGAAUAAGCACCGGCUAACUCUGUGCCAGCAGCCGCGGUAAUACAGAGGGUGCAAGCGUUAAUCGGAUUUACUGGGCGUAAAGCGCGCGUAGGUGGUUAAUUAAGUCAAAUGUGAAAUCCCCGAGCUUAACUUGGGAAUUGCAUUCGAUACUGGUUAGCUAGAGUAUGGGAGAGGAUGGUAGAAUUCCAGGUGUAGCGGUGAAAUGCGUAGAGAUCUGGAGGAAUACCGAUGGCGAAGGCAGCCAUCUGGCCUAAUACUGACACUGAGGUGCGAAAGCAUGGGGAGCAAACAGGAUUAGAAACCCCUGUAGUCC
rnacentral:rRNA from 1 species